GAGAGGGAAAUGAGAAGGGCGAAAAAUUAGGCUCUUGGUCUUGGGUAGCAGCAGUGAGCUCCGGUAAGAGCUUGAGUGCCGAGUCCAUGGUAUCUUCCGGUGGGGUUCUCGUUCCUUCAAACACUACCAGAUAGAAAGAGGAGCAUCGCGGGUCAGGGAGAUCGGAUUAGUCGUUAAUGGAGGGCUCUCUAGAUGAAUUUUCAGUUUCCAUAACUGCUUUCAGAUUUAGGGUUGCUGCAUAAUUUUCAUUUUAAGCUUGUAAUCGCAUUUCAGUUCUUGGUUGUAAUCCGACUUCCGAAGACAUGGCGGCUCAACACCCAACACCGCCACAAGCACCACAGCCGCUCCUCUUCGGCGAACUGGAGAUGGAGAUCCUCUCUUGGAUUCCAGCGAAGCCUCUCACGCGCCUGAAGCUUGUGUGCAAGUCAUGGAACUCCAUCAUCUCCAAUCCUCACUUCGUCAAACUUCACCUUCAGCGAUCGCCCAAAAAUGCCAACCUCCUUGUUACGCUAGGAGAAAUAUCCCCUGAAGGAGAAGUGAGUGUAGUGUUGAGUAGCGUUGAAUCUUUCAUCCGGAAUCCUUCCUCCACUCUUACUGCUCAAGAUGGUUGCCACUCUUUAGGCGUUCGAGGCUGGGUUUUGGGUUCUUGCAACGGUUUGGUUUGUAUUUGGGAUGGCAAUGAAGAUUAUCCCCACGAUUUCCAGUUCCGUUUAUGGAACCCUCUCACAGGGUUUAGUUCGGUGAAAUCGCCGCCCUUACAUGUCAAAUCGGAUGCUUCUUUUGGGUUCGGGUAUGAUGAGUCAAGUGACGGUUACAAGGUGGCGGCUGUCUACAUUAACUAUACCGAUAAUUCUUGGGAAACAACUGUGGAAGUUUAUAGGUUCGGUAGCAGUUCUUGGAGGAACAUCGAUAGUUUCCCUGCCUUUCCAAUUGCUAUUGAAGAGGACGGCAUGUACGUCGGUGGCACUCUUAAUUGGCUUGCACUCCAGAACACUAAGGGAGGUGUUUAUGAUUGGGGUGCUGUUACACUUGAUAUGUUAGUGAUUGUUUCGCUUGAGCUGAAAUCGGAGACAUAUAAACAGAUUCAGCUGCCUAAUGGUAUUGAUGAGCUCCCCAGUCACAUGCCAAGUCUGAAUGUUUGGGGUUAUUGUCUGUAUCUUUCUCAUGAUUACAAGAAAACACAUUUUAUUGUGUGGCAAAUGAAGGAGUUUGGAGAUGAAAUCUCUUGGACUCAAAUGCUAAAGAUUAGUUUUCAGCAUAUCAAUGUUGAACUGCCGUUGCCUUUGUUUAUAUGUGGGAAUGGAGAUAUCUUUGUGCUUACAGCAAGUAACGGGGACAUUUCUAAGAUAGUUUUGUAUGACCCGAGAGUUAAUAGUGUUGAGCACAUUAACAUCUUGGAUAAAAAUCAUUUUGCCAUUACCAAUGAUUAUGUUGAGAGCUUGGUUCAGCCCUGUUAAAAUUCAGUUCUUCGAAGUUCUGCCCUUGCGGGUUAUUGUUCUACAGAUCACUCAAAGUUUGGGCAGACUUGAUACAUACUUUCUUUGACUACUUGUUGCACAUGUUUAUUACUUUUUGCUAAUCGUUGGAUGUAAGUUUACAGACAAAUGAAGUGGCGUUGAUUUUUUCAUUUGUUAGAUCUAGAACAUGAUUUUCUGGAAUGAAGAAUGAUUUUGGGUCUGGAAAAUGUGACACCAAUGAUUACAAAGAUAGACCGGAAGAGUGCAAAAGAGCUUGAUUGCUUGAAUCCUAUGGCUUGGUUACAAGAAUGGUAAUUCCUACUAGUAGUAGUUAUAGUGAUUAGAUCUUAGCAUGUUGCAACCGUAAUGUUGAGAACCUUAGAUGAUACAACAUGUGUAGCAUGUUACUGCAUGCAUAGGAAUGUAAGCAGUGAAGAUUGAGAACCAAAAUUUUAUAGAACGAGAAGCAGUUAUUAGGUGAUAUAUAUGUGUGAUACUUCCUUUGCCAAUGUUAUUAGUUCUUUUAAAAUAUUUACUUGUUUUCAUGAUUCCCACUGGUGUUAUCAUAUCUUAUAGUCAACUAGACAUUUUAUGACAAUAUCUUGUUAUAUUGAAGACCAAGAGAAAUAUUUUUAAUCUU